rnacentral:rRNA from 1 species
UACGGAGGGAUCUAGCGUUAUUCGGAAUUACUGGGCGUAAAGCGAGCGUAGGCUGAUUUGUAAGUUGGAUGUGAAAUCCCAGAGCUUAACUCUGGAACUGCAUCCAAAACUACAUUUCUUGAGUUUGGUAGAGGAGAGUGGAAUUCCUAGUGUAGAGGUGAAAUUCGUAGAUAUUAGGAGGAACACCAGUGGCGAAGGCGACUCUCUGGACCAAUACUGACGCUGAGGUUCGAAAGCAUGGGUAGCGAAC